CCUUCAGCCAGCCCAGACUGUGAUGACCCAGGCUGGACCAUCGGUGUCUUCUACCUGCGGGAGCAGUGUGGCACCAGGAGGGGCUGUGGAUGCCUUCAGCCAGCCCAGAUAAAGAAGUGGAAAUUUUCAUAGGAACGCCUUGAAAUUUGCUUCAGUGUUCAGUUCUGCUGUCUAGAAGUCUGAAGCAUUCCUACUGUGAGGUGAAGAUCAUAUACAGAUGACCUGGAUUUUUUUUUUAGUUGUUCCUCUGUUUAAAUGCCUAUGUCUCCAAGUUUCCACAGCUCAUCCAAUAAAAAAAGAACGAAGGCUCUGGUGUUUUAUAUAUGGACACUAACCUACAGGAUCGGGGCCCCAUCCUUAUCACCUGAAUGGCUUUCCUAUUCCAAGUGUAAUGAAAGGAUGUGUUCGAGAAGGCAUCGUUAGAUCAUUUCACUAUGAGUUCUUGGUACUUGCCAAGUGCAUGAAAAGUCAAUGUCAAUAUUACAAAGGAGGAAGGCAAUGCGUUUCUGAAAAAUGUUGGACAGAGGUUCCUGCAUCUACUAGCUACCACACUGGAAGAGUUUCUCACUGAACCUGGAGCUUGACAAUUUAGCUGGCCCAGUGAACCAGCCAGUGCCAGUUUCCUCUUUUCUCUGCCUGCUGAGCGCUGAAGUGACAGGUGAGCUGGUAUUCCUGAUACGUAUGUGCCAUGGAGACCUGAACUCUGUUCUUCACACUUGUGUGGUUAUAAAUUGGCAUCUUAACUUAUAAAGAAGAUGAAGCCGCUGGAAUAUUUAAAUACUCCAAUUCAACAUUGUGUUUGAAUUGUGCACAGAUAUCAUAUGGACUAGGGAAUGAAAACAAACACAUUGCCCAGCAUAAGGGACUGACUGGCUACAUCAUCAAUACAGUGAAAUUCCAAAAAGACAAUGAAAGAAGUAUAGAAGCUCUCCAGAGACUCACAGAAAAGCGUAUGGAUGAUUUGCUGUUAAAAUACUGACCAUGAAGCAAGAAGAACAUAGGGCAUCCUCAUGUGAGAGUUGCAAUUGCAAGUGUGAGAGGAAGAAGCAUUAGCUUUGCAGGAUGUUCCCAGUGAAAGCAUGACAGAAGGGCUAUCCUGAGCUAUCACUUCGUUCUCCCAUAUGAAAGACGCAGACGAUUGAGAAGAACAGAGAGAUUCUUAACACCCAUGGAAGGUUAUGGCAUUAUCAAAUGAUUGGCAUUUUAUGGUGGUGACAUUCUCAGAAAUAAUGAUCCAGCUGAAGAAUUAAAAGCAAAGCUUAUCUCCUGUGCUUUCUCAGAGAGCUCACCAUCCCUUAAAAGAUUUUCUCCAUAAACUGAAAGAUAAGAUGACACAGAGAGAUAGACUGUUAACAUCCCCUCCCUGCCUGCUGAGCCUUCAUCCUGUAAAUGAUGGAAGCAGAUGCAGAGAUCCACAGCCAAGCGCCAG